UGAGGAAUAUUGGACAAUGGAUGGAAAUCUGAUCCAGCCAUGCCGCGUGCAGGAAGAAUGUCCUAUGGAUUGUAAACUGCUUUUGUAUGGGAGCAAUAAGGUCUUCGUGAAGGCCGAUGAGAGUACCAUACGAAUAAGCACCGGCUAACUCCGUGCCAGCAGCCGCGGUAAUACGGAGGGUGCAAGCGUUAUCCGGAUUUAUUGGGUUUAAAGGGUGCGUAGGCGGUUAUAUAAGUCAGCGGUGAAAUUUUUCGGCUCAACCGGAAACAUGCCGUUGAUACUGUAUAGCUUGAAUAUGGUUGCUGUGAGUGGAAUGUGUAGUGUAGCGGUGAAAUGCUUAGAUAUUACACAGAAUAUCGAUUGCGAAGGCAGCUUACUGGGAUACAACUGACGCUGAGGCACGAAAGCGUGGGGAUCAAACA
rnacentral:rRNA from 1 species